rnacentral:rRNA from 1 species
CCUACGGGAGGCAGCAGUGGGGAAUAUUGGACAAUGGGCGAAAGCCUGAUCCAGCAAUGCCGCGUGAGUGAUGAAGGCCUUAGGGUUGUAAAGCUCUUUUACCAGGGAUGAUAAUGACAGUACCUGGAGAAUAAGCUCCGGCUAACUCCGUGCCAGCAGCCGCGGUAAUACGGAGGGAGCUAGCGUUGUUCGGAAUUACUGGGCGUAAAGCGUACGUAGGCGGUUAUUCAAGUCAGAGGUGAAAGCCUGGAGCUCAACUCCAGAACUGCCUUUGAAACUAGAUAGCUAGAAUCUUGGAGAGGUGAGUGGAAUUCCGAGUGUAGAGGUGAAAUUCGUAGAUAUUCGGAAGAACACCAGUGGCGAAGGCGACUCACUGGACAAGUAUUGACGCUGAGGUACGAAAGCGUGGGGAGCAAACAGGAUUAGAUACCCUGGUAGUCCACGCCGUAAACGAUGAUAACUAGCUGUUCGGGCUCUACGAGCUUGAGUGGCGCNGCUACGACAUUAAGUUAUCCGUCCGUCGGGAGGUACGGUCGCGAGAAUUAAACUAACAAUAGAAGUUAGUACGGACGUGAGACGUACGCCGACGGACGACGACGAGGGAGGAGG